GUGCUCGCUUCAGCAGCACAUAUACUAAAAUUGGAACAAUACAGAGAAGAUUAGCAUGACCCCUGCACAAGGAUGACAUGCAAAUUCGUGAAACAUUCCAUGUUUCU
ensembl:snRNA U6 U6 spliceosomal RNA